UACUACACGGAUAACUGUAGUAAUUCUAGAGCUAAUACGUGCCUCGAUGCCCUGAUCCGCAAGGUGAGGGGUGCAUUUAUUAGAUCUCAGACCAAACGGUUUCGGCCGUGGUUUGUGAUGACUCUGGAUAACUUUGUAUAAUCGCAGCUGGCCUUGUUGUCGGCGAUGGAUCCAUCGAAUAUCUGCCCUAUCAACUUUCGAUGGUAGGUGACAUGCCUACCAUGGUUAUGACGGGUAACGGGGAAUCAGGGUUCGAUUCCGGAGAGGGAGCCUGAGAAACGGCUACCACAUCCAAGGAAGGCAGCAGGCGCGCAAAUUACCCACUCUCUGAACGAGGAGGUAGUGACGAUAAAUAUCGAUACAGAACUCAUUAGAGGCUCUGUAAUCGAAAUGAGACAAUUUUAAAUCCUAUAACGAGGAUCAAUUGGAGGGCAAGUCUGGUGCCAGCAGCCGCGGUAACUCCAGCUCCAAUAGCAUAUAUUAAAGUUGCUGCAGUUAAAAAGCUCGUAGUUGGAUCUGGGCUGCGCUGCGAUGGCCGGCUUUGUGAGAGCGUGCCUAACGGUGCGCGCUUGCUGGCUGGCAUGUUCGCGCGUGGCUUCGAAGCUGUGUCCUUGUGCUUUAACCGGCGCUUGGAUGGUUGUGGGUGUCUGUGGCGGUUCCUUCACGGGGAUUGUUGCGGCCUGUGACCAUGGUCUGUUGAUGCCCUUAACCGGGUGUCCGGAACUCGCAGCACGUUUACUUUGAACAAAUUCGAGUGCUCAAAGCAGGCCAUUUGUUGCCUGAAGAUUCUUGCAUGGAAUAAUGAAAUAGGACUUUGGUCCUGUUUUGUUGGUUUGACAGAACCGAAGUAAUGAUAAAGAGGGACA
rnacentral:rRNA from 1 species